rnacentral:pre_miRNA from 1 species
CAUGUUGCCUGCUCCGUAUUUGGCACUAGCACAUUUUGCUUUUUUGAUAACAUGCGGCAACUUUUGCUAGUGGCAAAGACGGCGUAGGUUGACGAGCGACCAGGA